GCCUGACUAGCUCAAUUGGAAGAGCGUGAGACUCUUAAUCUCAAGGUUGCAGGUUUGACCCCCACAUUGGGCU